GGGGUUGUGGCUCAGCGGUAGAGCGCCCACCAACACAUGCGAGGCCCUGGGUUCGACCCUCAGCACCACA
rnacentral:tRNA from 1 species